GGGGAUUUAGCUCAUGGUAGAGCGCUUGCCUAGCAAGCACAAGGCCCUGGGUUCAGUCCCCAGCUCCCA
rfam:Rattus norvegicus chromosome 20, whole genome shotgun sequence.